UUUGUUAUACUUAUCAAAUCAUUAGAUGAAGCUAUUUUAAACAAAUUUUGAAACUUUGAAAUCGGUUACUUCCAAAAGACAUAAUUUUCUGGGUAAAUUAUGUUUUUAGUCUUCUAAGUUUAGGUUGCAUUUUUACAUGGUCCCUAAACUUCAAAACCCCUAAUUAGGUCCUUAGAGUUUCACUUGUGUUUUAAUGUCAUCCUUCCAGCCAAUUUCCGACAUCGGAAAGUUGCAUGUAAUGCACAUGCUAUGUUGUUUACGAAAUCUGGUUCUUUUGGGGUUAUAGUUGAUCGUUGUUUCUUAAUUCCAUCUCUAUUGCAGAACCGGACAUGAGAGUUUCUUCUUUUCCUUGUUGGCACCAAUGUCAGCAUAUGAGUGAUGAUGUGGCAUAACAGGUGGAAAUUUUUAUUUUGAUGAUGCAACAUAUAGGUGAUGACGUGGUGUAUGCGUGAUGAGAUGGCACACAACACAUGCCACAGUGGAAUUGUUUUUCCAAAAGCUUCCAAUCGCUAA
rnacentral:lncRNA from 1 species